CUACGGGGCGCAGCAGUGGGGAAUAUUGCACAAUGGAGGAAACUCUGAUGCAGCAACGCCGCGUGGAGGAUGACACAUUUCGGUGUGUAAACUCCUUUUAUAUGUCAAGAAAAUGACGGUAGCAUAUGAAUAAGCACCGGCUAACUCCGUGCCAGCAGCCGCGGUAAUACGGAGGGUGCAAGCGUUACUCGGAAUCACUGGGCGUAAAGGACGCGUAGGCGGGUUGGAAAGUCAGGUGUGAAAUCCUACAGCUUAACUGUAGAACUGCACUUGAAACUUCUAAUCUAGAGUAUGGGAGGGGGAGAUGGAAUUAGUGGUGUAGGGGUAAAAUCCGUAGAUAUCACUAGGAAUACCUAAAGCGAAGGCGAUCUCCUGGAACAUUAUUGACGCUGAGACGCGAAAGCGUGGGGAGCAAACAGGAUUAGAUACCCCCGUAGUC
rnacentral:rRNA from 1 species